rnacentral:rRNA from 1 species
UACGUAAGUGGCAGGCGUCAUCCGGAUUUACUGGGCAUAAAGCGCGCGCAGGUGGUGUUUUAAGUCAGGUGUUAAAACCUAUAGCUUAACUAUAGUACGCACUUGAUACUGGAGCACUAGAGAUCAGGAGAGGAAAGCGGAACUCAUGGUGUAGCGGUGAAAUGCGUAGAUAUCAUGAGGAACACCAGUGGCGAAGGCGGCUUUCUGGACUGAUUCUGACACUGAGGCGCGAAAGCGUGGGGAGCAAACGGG